UCCGUUGUGGUCUAGUGGCUAGGAUUUGCCGCUCUCACUAAGAGAGUCUCUCUCACUUCAAGCUGAUGGUCUCAAGCCGAUUCCACAGCUGAAAGCAAGUGCCGGCAAGGCCCGGGUUCAAUUCCCGGCGACGGAA